UGCUAGACAUAUUCAUCACCAUUUGAGAUAGCCAUUGUCAAGCUCUCAACUAAAGCACAACCUCCAUUUCUUUUCAUUUUCUCACAAACAUUUCUUAACAAAAAACAUUGCAAUUUUCCCGUAGAUUUCUAAUCUACAAUUGCAUGUAGGAUCAAGAUUCGACAAGUUGUCGAGCUAUCGAGUCGGAGGACCAAGGGAAUUAACGGAGUUGUUUAAAAGGAGCAUUGACGGAGUAAUACCGUAGUUAAACGGUUUCUGAUCGUUACCUGUCUUUUUGGACGAGACUUCACUUUAUUUGCUUCUCGAAGUCUCCUUGUUUGAAUUGUGGUAUUUUGUUCAGUAGCGCUACAAUAGUAGUCAUCCGCAGUAGAUUAGUAUAGUCUCAUUGUAUUCAAAGGUUUUAAAGCGCAUUUAAACUUUGAUGUUUUGUCCCAUCAGUUAUUUAAUAAAUGUUUCAUACGUUUCUUUUAAAAGCGAA